AGUGAACGCUGGCGGCAGGCUUAACACAUGCAAGUCGAACGAGAUCUUCGGAUCUAGUGGCAGACGGGUGAGGAACACGUGGGAACAUCCCUUUCAGUUCGGAAUAACGUUGGGAAACUAACGCUAAUACCGGAUACGUCCUUCGGGAGAAAGAUUUAUCGCUGAAAGAUUGGCCCGCGUCUGAUUAGCUAGUUGGUGAGGUAAUGGCUCACCAAGGCUACGAUCAGUAGCUGAUCUGAGAGGAUGAUCAGCCACAUUGGGACUGAGACACGGCCCAAACUCCUACGGGAGGCAGCAGUGGGGAAUAUUGGACAAUGGGCGCAAGCCUGAUCCAGCCAUGCCGCGUGAGUGAUGACGGCCUUCGGGUUGUAAAGCUCUUUUGUCCGGGAAGAUAAUGACUGUACCGGAAGAAUAAGCCCCGGCAAACUUCGUGCCAGCAGCCGCAGUAA
rnacentral:rRNA from 1 species